GGGACUGCAUGCAUAGUUAACAAUCAGUCACCAAGUGAGAAGGAUCUCUUUCAGGCCCCUCAUAGACCCAGGUAUUUGCGAAACUGUACGUGCAAUUGACUGCUGACAAAUUUAUAUUCCCAGCAAAAAACAGACGCUUCCACCCUUUCAGCAUCAAUUCUCCAACAUAUGGAAAGAAUUCCCUCCCAGUUGUUCCCAUACUAGCUCAAACCGUGAAUGCUUGCAGCCAGGGAUUACGUCCUCUCCUGUGUUUAUACAAGCAUCAGCUCUAGUGUGAUCAUUUCAGCAGAUCCUGCAGGAACUCACUCCAAAGGACAGGAAAUUUCCUCAAGAAAAGACCACUGAUUGAUUCCACUUUGCUCCAACUGCCCCAGAACCGGGUAAUAUCUCCUGGUCAGAAAAGCUGUAAUAGACACUAAAAUCCAAGCAAGUACCUAAAACUGUUGGUUGCACUACAAGGAAAAGCAAAGAUGACAAGAGUGCCAGCUGAGUUGGUUGGAGCAAGGAACUGGAGGGCUAAAAACUCCCAAGGAACAUUACAUCAAACACUCAAAUACUCUGACAGCCUCACCUCUCUGACCUCUUCCCCAGGUUCCAUCGAAAUAUGAGUCUACUGAGACAGGACGGCUCCACUCACCAUUUUGCUCUCCUCCACCAGAAAUCCCUCCACACAUUAACAGCUGACUGUCCGACUCCAGGCUCAGCGUUCUGUUUAGAAUGAGAUUCUCUUCCUGCUGAAAAAAAUAACAAAACCAAAACACAAGAAAUUGGAGACCUGUAAAGAGGAAGAAGACGAGGGCAUUUCUGCCAGGGUGAGUCAGACAGUCUGACUGGAUCCCAGCACACCUGAUAAAGCAGCUCCUCUGUCAGAGGCAGAAUGGCUGGCACAUGGCUUUAGGGCACUGAGGACUACAGCUCUUUUUUUCUAAUCUGCCUCAUGGCUUAAAAAAAAACAAAAAAACAACCCACCAAACAACAACAAAACUGUUUAUGGCUGUGAGGGUGUAGCAGCUUGAGGGGAAUUCUGCUUUUGUUAUCUAAGGUUAACACCUUGUAUGCUAGAGAAAAAUUAUGGGAAAUGCCAGAACAAAGUGGAGGAUUCCUGCUGGCUUGUUUCAUGCCUGAUACUGAGAUCAAUAGGCCUGUGUGCUCCUAAGCAUCUUUCUUUGUCUUGACUGGUGUACCACUGAAUACUCAUGCUUAUAAAGGAUGAAGAAUCUCCUAGCAGACAAUAGAUAUCCCCUUCAGCAUCUCACAGAUGGUGACUGGAUGGUCUUCGGGCACUUUCUAGAAAAUUAAAUCCUGAUUCUAAAAAUAAGAAACUGGCCACAUCACAUAGCACUGGUGGCUGGCAAAUCUGAAAGAGAAAUUAAGGGAAAGUUCUACUUGAAGAGAAAGAAAUAUAUAAGCCUGUGAAAGAUCAAGAAACACUUUCAGCAUCCAGAUUGAUCAUGAAAACGGUGAUAGCAUAUAUUGCUGCAGCUGCACACAUCAGUGUUUCUCAGACAGCUGUCACAUUAGUUUAUAUUCCACCUUCUAUAUCACCUCCUAUUUCCCACUGGUUUCUACUUAGGUUGCAUUGCUUUGGACCAUAUUCUCAGCAUGACUGGAUGCUCACUGGCCCUCAUUUUGGAAAUCAUGUCCAUCAGUGACCUGACUGACAGCACCCUGGCACAUUCCAGAAUCAAACUUUGCAGUCAUAUCCUGGUGCAGGAGGCUGCGUGAAGACACUUAUUCUUUGUCUCCGUUGUUGCUCUGCCUUUAGGUGCAGCAUAGAGGAAAUUCAGACACCAUGAAGUUUUGAGUGGCUGCAUCACACACCACAGGAAAUGUUCAGGGGACAUGAAUGACAUAAAUGAAUAGUAGACAGAUGGGGAAAAACACAGAAAUGAUCCUUAGCAAGCAGAAUAUGUAUCAGGCAGAGGACAGAAAAAGGAAGAAAAACAUUUUUAAUGCUGCCUGUGUACUGAACAUUUUGCUGCUACAGUGGGAGUACAGAUCACAAGGCUGCAGUGAAGAUGUGUUAAGAAAUUUCUUUCCCUUGAGGAACUGGUGGAUGCAUGUAUACAAUAGAAUGUGCAACUGAAUCCAGUCUUUAAUAAAAGCAGAGACUCAUUUUGGUCUCUAGACUAA